AAGGAAUAUUGCGCAAUGGGCGAAAGCCUGACGCAGCGACGCCGCGUGGGGGAUGAAGGUCUUCGGAUUGUAAACCCCUUUCGGGAGGGAAGAUGGAGCGAGCAAUCGUUCGGACGGUACCUCCAGAAGCAGCCACGGCCAACUUCGUGCCAGCAGCCGCGGUAAUACGAAGGUGGCAAGCGUUGUUCGGAUUCACUGGGCGUACAGGGUGUGUAGGCGGUUUGGUAAGCCUUCUGUUAAAGCUUCGGGCCCAACCCGGAAAGCGCAGAGGGUACUGCCAGGCUAGAGGGUGGGAGAGGAGCGCGGAAUUCCCGGUGUAGCGGUGAAAUGCGUAGAGAUCGGGAGGAAGGCCGGUGGCGAAGGCGGCGCUCUGGAACAUGCCUGACGCUGAGACACGAAAGCGUGGGGAGCAAAC
rnacentral:rRNA from 1 species